rnacentral:rRNA from 1 species
UACGUAGGAGGCGAGCGUUGUCCGGAAUCAUUGGGCGUAAAGAGCGCGCAGGCGGCUUGGCAAGUCGGGUGUGAAAUCCCGGGGCUCAACCCCGUGACUGCAUCCGAUACUGUCAGGCUAGAGGUAGGUAGGGGAGAUCGGAAUCCCUGGUGUAGCGGUGAAAUGCGCAGAUAUCAGGAGGAACACCGGUGGCGAAGGCGGAUCUCUGGGCCUUACCUGACGCUCAGGCGCGAAAGCUAGGGGAGCGAACAGG